rnacentral:rRNA from 1 species
UACGUAGGGUGCAAGCGUUGUCCGGAAUUAUUGGGCGUAAAGAGCUCGUAGGCGGUUUGUUGCGUCGGCUGUGAAAACCUGAGGCUCAACCUCAGGCCUGCAGUCGAUACGAGCAGACUAGAGUGUUGCAGGGGAGACUGGAAUUCCUGGUGUAGCGGUGAAAUGCGCAGAUAUCAGGAGGAACACCGGUGGCGAAGGCGGGUCUCUGGGCCGAAACUGACGCUGAGGAGCGAAAGCGUGGGGAGCAAACAGG